GCUUAACACAUGCAAGUCGAGGGGCAGCAUGGUCUUAGCUUGCUAAGGCCGAUGGCGACCGGCGCACGGGUGAGUAACGCGUAUCCAACCUGCCUUACACUCUUGGACAGCCUUCUGAAAGGGAGAUUAAUACAAGAUGUUAUCAUGAGUAAGCAUUUUCGCAUGAUUAAAGGUUUACCGGUGUAAGAUGGGGAUGCGUUCCAUUAGAUAGUAGGCGGGGUAACGGCCCACCUAGUCUUCGAUGGAUAGGGGUUCUGAGAGGAAGGUCCCCCACAUUGGAACUGAGACACGGUCCAAACUCCUACGGGAGGCAGCAGUGAGGAAUAUUGGUCAAUGGACGAGAGUCUGAACCAGCCAAGUAGCGUGAAGGAUGAAGGUUCUAUGGAUUGUAAACUUCUUUUAUACGGGAAUAAACGAAUCCACGCGUGGAUUUUUGCAUGUACCGUAUGAAUAAGGAUCGGCUAACUCCGUGCCAGCAGCCGCGGUAAUACGGAGGAUCCGAGCGUUAUCCGGAUUUAUUGGGUUUAAAGGGAGCGUAGAUGGGUUGUUAAGUCAGUUGUGAAAGUUUGCGGCUCAACCGUAAAAUUGCAAUUGAUACUGGCAGUCUUGAGUACAGUUGAGGUAGGCGGAAUUCGUGGUGUAGCGGUGAAAUGCUUAGAUAUCACGAAGAACUCCGAUUGCGAAGGCAGCUUACUAACCUGUAACUGACAUUGAUGCUCGAAAGUGUGGGUAUCAAACAGGAUUAGAUACCCUGGUAGUCCACACGGUAAACGAUGAAUACUCGCUGUAGGCGAUAUACAGUCUGCGGCCAAGCGAAAGCAUUAAGUAUUCCACCUGGGGAGUACGCCGGCAACGGUGAAACUCAAAGGAAUUGACGGGGGCCCGCACAAGCGGAGGAACAUGUGGUUUAAUUCGAUGAUACGCGAGGAACCUUACCCGGGCUUAAAUUGCAACCGAAUAUGGCGGAAACGCUAUAGCUAGCAAUAGCGGUUGUGAAGGUGCUGCAUGGUUGUCGUCAGCUCGUGCCGUGAGGUGUCGGCUUAAGUGCCAUAACGAGCGCAACCCUUGCCGAUAGUUACUAACAGGUUAUGCUGAGGACUCUGUCGGGACUGCCAUCGUAAGAUGUGAGGAAGGUGGGGAUGACGUCAAAUCAGCACGGCCCUUACGUCCGGGGCUACACACGUGUUACAAUGGGGGGUACAGAGGGCUGCUACCACGCAAGUGGAUGCCAAUCCCAAAAACCUCUCUCAGUUCGGAUUGAAGUCUGCAACCCGACCUCAUGAAGCUGGAUUCGCUAGUAAUCGCGCAUCAGCCACGGCGCGGUGAAUACGUUCCCGGGCCUUGUACACACCGCCCGUCAAGCCAUGGGAGCCGGGGGUACCUGAAGUGCGUAACCGCAAGGAGCGCCCUAGGGUAAAACUGGUGACUGGGGCUAAG
rnacentral:rRNA from 1 species